GAUCCACAUAAGCUCCUGGAGGACCCGGUGGUUGCAGAUGUAGCCAAAAAGCACAGACGCAGCUCAGCACAGGUAUUGCUGAGGUACCAUAUACAGCAGGGUAUUUCGGUCAUCCCUAAGAGUGACAAGCCUCAUCACAUUCUUGAAAACGCAAAGAUCUUUGACUUCAGUCUGUCUGAAGAGGACAUGAGAGCGCUG